UACGGGGGGAGCAAGCGUUGUUCGGAUUUACUGGGCGUAAAGGGCGGGUAGGCGGCCACCGCAAGUCAGUUGUGAAAUCUCUGGGCUUAACCCAGAAAGGUCAACUGAUACUGCGGGGCUAGAGUGCAGAAGGGGCAACUGGAAUUCUCGGUGUAGCGGUGAAAUGCGUAGAUAUCAGGAGGAAUACCGGUGGCGAAAGCGACUCUCUGGACGGCAACUGACGCUGAGGCACGAAAGCGUGGGGAGCAAACAGG
rnacentral:rRNA from 1 species